UCUAGGGGAGGCAGCAGUGAGGAAUAUUGGUCAAUGGGCGGAAGCCUGAACCAGCCAAGUAGCGUACAGGAUGACGGCCCUAUGGGUUGUAAACUGCUUUUAUACAGGAAUAAAGUUAGCCACGUGUGGUUAUUUGUAGGUACUGUAUGAAUAAGGACCGGCUAAUUCCGUGCCAGCAGCCGCGGUAAU
rnacentral:rRNA from 1 species